rnacentral:tRNA from 1 species
GCGGUCGUGGUGGAAUGGCAGACGCGCUAGGUUGAGGGCCUAGUGGGAGAAAUCCCGUGGAGGUUCAAGUCCUCUCGGCCGCA